rnacentral:misc_RNA from 1 species
GAUGAAGAACGUAGCGUAAUGCGAUAAGUAAUGUGAAUUGCAGAAUUCAGUGAAUCAUCGAGUCUUUGAACGCACAUUGCGCCCCCUGGUAUUCCGGGGGGCAUGCCUGUCCGAGCGUCAUUGCUGCCCUCAAGCACGGCUUGUGUGUUGGGCCUCCGUCCUCCUCCCGGGGGACGGGCCCGAAAGGCAGCGGCGGCACCGCGUCCGGUCCUCGAGCGUAUGGGGCUUCGUCACCCGCUCUUGUAGGCCCGGCCGGCGCUUGCCGACACAUCAAUCUUUUUUCCAGGUUGACCUCGGAUCAGGUAGGGAUACCCGCUGAACUUAAGCAUAUCAAUAAGCGGAGGA